GGGGAUUUCGCAAGGGCGAAGCCUGACGGAGCAAUACCGCGUGGAGGGAGGAAGCUCUUGGGUUGUAAACCUCUUUUCUCAGGGAAGAACAAAAUGACGGUACCUGAGGAAUAAGCAUCGGCUAACUCCGUGCCAGCAGCCGCGGUAAUACGGAGGAUGCAAGCGUUAUCCGGAAUGAUUGGGCGUAAAGCGUCCGCAGGUGGCUUUGCAAGUCUGCUGUCAAAGCUCAGGGCUUAACCCUGAAUCGGCGGUGGAAACUGAAAGGCUAGAGUGCGGUAGGGGCAGAGGGAAUUCCCAGUGUAGCGGUGAAAUGCGUAGAGAUUGGGAAGAACACCAGUGGCGAAAGCGCUCUGCUAGACCGCAACUGACACUCAUGGACGAAAGCUAGGGGAGCGAAUGGGAUUAGAUACCCCAGUAGUCCUAGCUGUAAACGAUGGAUACUAGGCGUUGAGAGUAUCGACCCUCUCAGUGUCGUAGCUAACGCGUUAAGUAUCCCGCCUGGGGAGUACGCACGCAAGUGUGAAACUCAAAGGAAUUGACGGGGGG
rnacentral:rRNA from 1 species